rnacentral:rRNA from 1 species
UACGUAGGGGGCAAGCGUUGUCCGGAUUUAUUGGGCGUAAAGAGCGCGUAGGCGGCCAUACAGGUCAGCUGUGAAAACUCGAGGCUCAACCUCGAGACGUCGGUUGAAACCGUAUGGCUAGAGUCCGGAAGAGGAGAGUGGAAUUCCCGGUGUAGCGGUGAAAUGCGCAGAUAUCGGGAAGAACACCCGUGGCGAAGGCGGCUCUCUGGGACGGUACUGACGCUGAGACGCGAAAGCGUGGGGAGCGAACAGG